ACGGGUGAGUAACGCGUAGGAAUCUGCCCGAUAGUGGGGGACAACGUUCCGAAAGGGACGCUAAUACCGCAUACGCCCUACGGGGGAAAGCAGGGGAUCUUCGGACCUUGCGCUAUCGGAUGAGCCUGCGUCGGAUUAGCUAGUUGGCGGGGUAAAGGCCCACCAAGGCGACGAUCCGUAGCUGGUCUGAGAGGAUGAUCAGCCACACCGGAACUGAGACACGGUCCGGACUCCUACGGGAGGCAGCAGUGGGGAAUAUUGGACAAUGGGGGCAACCCUGAUCCAGCCAUGCCGCGUGUGUGAAGAAGGCCUUCGGGUUGUAAAGCACUUUAAGGGGGGAGGAAGGUUCGCUGGCGAAUACCCAGCGGAAUUGACGUUACCCCCAGAAUAAGCACCGGCUAACUCCGUGCCAGCAGCCGCGGUAAUACGGAGGGUGCAAGCGUUAAUCGGAAUUACUGGGCGUAAAGCGCGCGUAGGCGGCUGGGUAAGUCGAUUGUGAAAUCCCCGGGCUCAACCUGGGAAUUGCAGUCGAGACUGCCCGGCUAGAGUGUGGGAGAGGGUGGUGGAAUUCCCGGUGUAGCGGUGAAAUGCGU
rnacentral:rRNA from 1 species